CUAUAAUCAUCAGCGUUUACUGCACAGUAUAAUAGAUUGAUGGCUUUAUCAUUGUAUUGCACCAGCUUCAUAUCCUCAGCAUCAUACUCUUCUUCGGUUUUUGGGACCAAAUCAGUUCCAUCCCUUUUCAUUGGAAUUUCAUCUCCUUUAGUUACUACCUUCCAUAAGUGAAGACUUGUUGACCGUAUGAAUAUCCUCAUUCGUUCCUU
rnacentral:lncRNA from 1 species